rnacentral:pre_miRNA from 1 species
CAUCUACUCCCUCCGUCCGAAAAUACUUGUCAUUAAAAUGAAUAAAAUGAGAUGUAUUUAGAUGUAUUUUAGUUCUAAAUACAUCUCUUUCUAUCCAUUUUGAGGACAAGUAUUUCCGGACGGAAGGAGUAUUUA